rnacentral:snRNA from 1 species
UUACCUGGCAGAGGAGUUGCUAUAAUCGCAGAGUCGUUUUCCCACGAUGAGCCUUGUCCACUCUAUUCCAGAUGUGCUGACACCAGCAAUUCCCCCAAAUGUGGGAAACUAAACUGCGCAAUUCAUGGUGGUGGGCUGCAUUUACGCUUUCCUU